rnacentral:tRNA from 1 species
GGGUAGGUGGCGGAAUUGGUAUACGCGCAUGGCUUAGAACCAUGUCCCGCGAGGGUUGCGAGUUCAAGUCUCGCCCUACCCA